CCUACGGGGUGCUGCCGUGGGGAAUAUUGCACGAUGGGCGCAAGCCUGAUGCAGCCAUGCCGCGUGUGUGAAGAAGGCCUUCGGGUUGUAAAGCACUUUCAGCGGGGAGGAAGGCGUUAAGGUUAAUAACCUUGUCGAUUUACGUUACCCGCAGAAGAAGCACCGGCUAACUCCGUGCCAGCAGCCGCGGUAAUACGGAGGGUGCAAGCGUUAAUCGGAAUUACUGGGCGUAAAGCGCACGCAGGCGGUCUGUCAAGUCGGAUGUGAAAUCCCCGGGCUCAACCUGGGAACUGCAUUCGAAACUGGCAGGCUAGAGUCUUGUAGAGGGGGGUAGAAUUCCAGGUGUAGCGGUGAAAUGCGUAGAGAUCUGGAGGAAUACCGGUGGCGAAGGCGGCCCCCUGGACAAAGACUGACGCUCAGGUGCGAAAGCGUGGGGAGCAAACAGGAUUAGAUACCCUAGUAGUC
rnacentral:rRNA from 1 species